AUUGAACGCUGGCGGCAGGCCUAACACAUGCAAGUCGAACGAGUGGCGGACGGGUGAGUAAUGUCUGGGAAACUGCCUGAUGGAGGGGGAUAACUACUGGAAACGGUAGCUAAUACCGCAUACCAUCGGAUGUGCCCCGAUGGGAUUAGCUAGUAGGUGGGGUAACGGCUCACCUAGGCGAAGAUCCCUAGCUGGUCUGAGAGGAUGACCAGUAACACGGGAACUGAGAAACGGUCCAGACUCGUACGGGAGGCAGCAGUGGGGAAUAUUGCACAAGGGGCGGAAGCCUGAUGCAGCCAUGCCGCGUGUGUGAAGAAGGCCUUCGGGUUGUAAAGCACUUUAAGCGGGGAGGCGUUACCCGCAGAAGAAGCACCGGCUAACUCCGUGCCAGCAGCCGCGGUAAUAC
rnacentral:rRNA from 1 species